ACCCUCUCAGUAUCGCACCUGGAUAGUUUCCAGUAAUCUACCAGUCUCGGCUACAGGAGGGAGAGUGAAGCAGAGGCAUUCCCAUUCCAUUCCUAGUUUGGACAGUGGCUAGCAAGUGGAAGACAAUCUGCUUCAAGU